UGGGGAAUAUNUGCGCAAUGGGGGGAACCCUGACGCAGCCAUGCCGCGUGAAUGAAGAAGGCCUUAGGGUUGUAAAGUUCUUUCGGUAUUGAGGAAGGUUGAUGUGAUAAUAGCACAUCAAAUUGACGUUAAAUACAGAAGAAGCACCGGCUAACUCCGUGCCAGCAGCCGCGGUAAUACGGAGGGUGCGAGCGUUAAUCGGAAUAACUGGGCGUAAAGGGCACGCAGGCGGUUAUUUAAGUGAGGUGUGAAAGCCCUGGGCUUAACCUAGGAAUUGCAUUUCAGACUGGGUAACUAGAGUACUUUAGGGAGGGGUAGAAUUCCACGUGUAGCGGUGAAAUGCGUAGAGAUGUGGAGGAAUACCGAAGGCGAAGGCAGCCCCUUGGGAAUGUACUGACGCUCAUGUGCGAAAGCGUGGGGAGCAAACAGGAUUAGAUACCCUGGUAGUCCACGCUGUAAACGCUGUCGAUUUGGGGGUUGGGGUUUAACUUUGGCGCCCGUAGCUAACGUGAUAAAUCGACCGCCUGGGGAGUACGGCCGCAAGGUUA
rnacentral:rRNA from 1 species